rnacentral:rRNA from 1 species
UACGGAGGGUGCAAGCGUUAUCCGGAUUCACUGGGUUUAAAGGGUGCGUAGGUGGGUUGGUAAGACAGUGGUGAAAUCCCCGAGCUUAACUUGGGAACUGCCAUUGAUACUAUCAGUCUUGAAUACCGUGGAGGUCGGCGGAAUAUGUCAUGUAGCGGUGAAAUGCUUAGAUAUGACAUAGAACACCAAUUGCGAAGGCAGCUGACUACGCGAGUAUUGACACUGAGGCACGAAAGCGUGGGGAUCAAACAGG